UUGACCUCGGAUCAGGUAGGAAUACCCGCUGAACUUAAGCAUAUCAAAGC
rnacentral:rRNA from 1 species